UUCGAUGUCGUGAUCUGUUUGUUAAGUGUUUCAGGCUUUAUAGGGCAGGAAUGGCUUAGAGAAUGGAGAGGAAGCUUGCAAAAAUGGAAGGAACACAAAAAACUAAGGAGAUGACCAGCGAGCACCGAUGCGCACGCAUGGCUCACGCGAGCGCGCGGAAUGGAGAAAUUUACAGCGACGCGUGCACGUGCCUGACGCGUACGCGUGGAUUGGAGUCUGCACAAAAGAUGCGCACACGUGGACGACACGUACGCAUGACAAGGAAAUUCGCCAAAUGACGCGUACGCGUGACUUGCGCGAUCUACAGAAUUAACAGAAAAUGUUGGGGGCGAUUUCGAGCCGAGUUUUGACCCAAUUUUCGGUCCAGAAAUACAGAAUAAAGCCAGAAAACAUACAGAGACUCAACAUACAUUCACAUAUUCUCAUUAGGAUAGUUUUAGGUUUUGAUAUCUGAAUCUAGAGAGAGAAUUACCUUUCCUCUAGUUUUUCUUUACAUUCAUAGUUUAUUAGUUUUAUGCUUUUGCUUUUGGAUAUUGAAGAGUCAUCACCUCCGUUGAAG
rnacentral:lncRNA from 1 species